rnacentral:tRNA from 1 species
UAAAAGAUAAGCUAAAAAAGCUAAUGGGCCCAUACCCCGUACAUGAGUUUAAUCUCUCUUUUAA